rnacentral:rRNA from 1 species
AACGAACGCUGGCGGCAUGCCUAACACAUGCAAGUCGAACGAAGCCUUCGGGCUUAUUGGCGCACGGGUGCGUAACGCGUGGGAAUCUGCCCCUUGCUUCGGAAUAACAGUUAUAAAUGACUGCUAAUACCGGAUGAAGUCUUCGGACCAAAGAUUUAUCGGCACGGGAUGAGCCCGCGUAGGAUUAGGUAGUUGGUGGGGUAAAGGCCUACCAAGCCGACGAUCCUUAGCUGGUCUGAGAGGAUGAUCAGCCACACUGGGACUGAGACACGGCCCAGACUCCUACGGGAGGCAGCAGUGGGGAAUAUUGGACAAUGGACGCAAGUCUGAUCCAGCAAUGCCGCGUGAGUGAUGAAGGCCUUAGGGUUGUAAAGCUCUUUUACCAGGGAUGAUAAUGACAGUACCUGGAGAAUAAGCUCCGGCUAACUCCGUG